CCUAAGGUGUUACCUCCAUUCCCACCUAAGGUCUUCCCUCCAAAAAUUCCAAUCUUCAAGAAGCCUCUUCCUCCACCAGUGCCAAUCUACAAGAAGCCUCUCCCUCCACCAGUGCCGGUAUACAAGAAGCCGGUCCCUCCCCCCGUCCCGGUCUACAAGAAGCCUCACCCUCCGCCCGUCCCAAUCUACAAGAAACCUCUCCCUCCACCUGUCCCAGUCUAUAAGAAGCCUAACCCUCCACCAGUCCCAGUAUACAAGAAACCUUACCCUCCACCAACACCAAUCUACAAGAAACCUCUCCCUCCUCCCGUCCCAGUCUAUAAGAAGCCUAACCCUCCACCAGUCCCAGUAUACAAGAAACCUUGCCCUCCACCAAAACCAAUCUACAAGAAACCUCUCCCUCCACCUGUCCCAAUCUAUAAGAAGCCUCUUCCACCACCAGUUCCAGUAUACAAGAAGCCACUUCCACCACUAGUCCCCAUAUACAAGAAGCCAUUUCCACCACCAGUCCCAAUAUACACAAAGCCACUUCCACCACCAAUCCCAAUAUACAAGAAGCCACUUCCACCA
rnacentral:lncRNA from 1 species